rnacentral:rRNA from 1 species
GAUGAACGCUGGCGGCGUGCCUAAUACAUGCAAGUCGAGCGAAUGGAUUAAGAGCUUGCUCUUAUGAAGUUAGCGGCGGACGGGUGAGUAACACGUGGGUAACCUGCCCAUAAGACUGGGAUAACUCCGGGAAACCGGGGCUAAUACCGGAUAACAUUUUGAACCGCAUGGUUCGAAAUUGAAAGGCGGCUUCGGCUGUCACUUAUGGAUGGACCCGCGUCGCAUUAGCUAGUUGGUGAGGUAACGGCUCACCAAGGCAACGAUGCGUAGCCACCCUGAGAGGGUGUACGGGCACACUGGGACUGGGACACGGCCCAGACUCCUACGGGAGGCAGCAGUAGGGACUCUUCCGCAAUGGACGAAAGUCUGACGGAGCAACGCCGCGUGAGUGAUGAAGGCUUUCGGGUCGUAAAACUCUGUUGUUAGGGAAGAACAAGUGCUAGUUGAAUAAGCUGGCACCUUGACGGUACCUAACCAGAAAGCCACGGCUAACUACGUGCCAGCCGCCGCAGUAA